UUUCAUUUCAUACCAAACACACCACUAUACUCUCUCCUCUCUCCCCUUUACCCCUAAACCCUAAGCCGCCGCCCCACUUUUCUCUUUUCUUUCAUGCCAAAAAUGGCAACGCUGCAGGAAGCAUAGGGUUUUGCAGUCGUGUACCCCCCAUUCCAAGCUAACAAUAAAUGCUUCCAUCCUAUUUCCACCUUAUAUCAUCCAAACACGGUAAUACACCUUUUUCUUUUACUUUUCCUCUUAAAUUUUGAGUCAAAGAUUUGAUUUUCUGUGUUAUAUUUGUUGUAUUUUCACUGUACGCCCUCGAUCCUCAUUGGUCGAGUUUGAACCAACUGGAUCGAGAGAGAUCAGGCUCAAAUCGAGCCAUUUGUUGUUAGCAACGGUCAAUCUAGACCGUAGAAUUCAUUUUUUCAAGUUGUUUUCUGAAAACUCUCACUUUGUACCACAUCGUUGGUUCUAGGGUUUUGAUAGUUUUGGGGGCUCUAUAAAUAGAAUGCCAACCCUCACCAUUCAAAAAGCACAAGGCUCCAAAUUCGAUCUUGUUCGCGGCUGCACAUCAAAAAGUCCGUUGAUGACAACAGGUGGUAGCUGGAAAAAGACAAAGAAGAAAUAGUCAUACAGAAGGCUUUUCUUUCUCUUCUGCAACUUCGAUCGGGACAACCCACUAUUCUGAAUUUCAAGGUCAUUCCUUAAUGUAUCUCACAAAAUUGUAGCCUUAUUUUUGGAUUCCUAGGUUUCUCUGUAGAACCGGCACUGACAUGAAUAUGAUGUUUUCUGGUUCACUGGUGUUUCAUAAAGAAUUGUUUUUCAUGUGAUUACGUGAUUUAUAUAAGUCCGAUGUGAAGGUAUCACUCAAAUCAACUAAAAAACAACGACAAGGCACAUAGUGAACAACUACAAAGAUGAUUGUCGAUAUCGAUUAGAUAUUGGAGUUAAGCAAGUCAAUCUGGCAAUCAAAUUUAAUUUUUAGUGUAUGUCAAAUUUGAUUAUGUCUCUAAAAAGUUUAGUCAAAAAUUCUUUAGAGAAGGUGUUAUUCUACUGGAGUUCUAAGGAAAAGAAGACCAGUUCCCAGCAAAAGAGAAAGCUAUUGCAUGGUUGAUCAUCAAAAAAUGAUGUGGACAGCUGACUGCGACUUUAAAUGAUAGAAAAUGUUAAUCAAAUAGCAAGUUCUUAGUUUGCUUGUUCUGUAUUGCCACAUCUUGGUUUAAACUUUAUUUGUAAUCAUGUAGCUGUGUCUUUUGAAAUAUGAAGCCAACAUGACAGCAAAAAAGGCAAAGGUUGAACCCAUCGGGAGAUAUCUAAAGUUGACACGAUCUUUCACAUUAAUAACUAAA